UCACCAUAACCCUUUGUAAUAAAAUCCAAAUUUUGAGACGGUUAUUAGUAUUGAAAUUCUUCGACAUUAGAUGCAAUAGGUUUUAUUUUAUCCUUUCAAUUCAACUUUAUUUCAUCUAUCAUCGAUGUAACUUUAAAAAAUAAACAUAACAUAUAUUUUCAGAAUUAAAGGUCGAUGAGCUGCCAAAUGGUGAUGUGGUUAUUCAAGUCAUACCAGAAUCAGAUUCAGAAGCAGAGAGACGUGCAGUGUUCGAUUUGGACACGAUAGAAUUAGACAAAGGAAGCCAGUCCACCGGCAAUGAAUUCCCAAAUAGAAUGCAAUCCUCGAGUAAUCAGCA